rnacentral:rRNA from 1 species
GAUGAACGCUGGCGGCGUGCCUAAUACAUGCAAGUCGAGCGAACAGACGAGGAGCUUGCUCCUCCGACGUUAGCGGCGGACGGGUGAGUAACACGUGGAUAACCUACCUAUAAGACUGGGAUAACUUCGGGAAACCGGAGCUAAUACCGGAUAAUAUAUUGAACCGCAUGGUUCAAUAGUGAAAUACGGUUUUGCUGUCACUUAUAGAUGGAUCCGCGCCGCAUUAGCUAGUUGGUAAGGUAACGGCUUACCAAGGCGACGAUGCGUAGCCGACCUGAGAGGGUGAUCGGCCACACUGGAACUGAGACACGGUCCAGACUCCUACGGGAGGCAGCAGUAGGGAAUCUUCCGCAAUGGGCGAAAGCCUGACGGAGCAACGCCGCGUGAGUGAUGAAGGUCUUCGGAUCGUAAAACUCUGUUAUUAGGGAAGAACAAAUGUGUAAGUAACUAUGCACGUCUUGACGGUACCUAAUCAGAAAGCCACGGCUAACUACGUG